rnacentral:rRNA from 1 species
CUCAGUAACACGUGGAUAACCUAGCCUUAGGACCGGAAUAACCCCGGGAAACUGGGGAUAAUACCGGGAUAAGCCAUAGAAGCUGGAAUGCCCUAUGGUUCAAAGCUCCGGCGCCUAAGGAUGGAUCUGCGGUCUAUCAGGUUGUAGUGGGUGUAACGUACCUACUAGCCGACGACGGAUACGGGUUGUGAGAGCAAGAGCCCGGAGAUGGAUUCUGAGACACGAAUCCAGGCCCUACGGGGUGCAGCAGGCGCGAACACUUUACAAUGCGGGAAACCGCGAUAAGGGAACCCCGAGUGCCAGCAUCAAAUGUUGGCUGUCCAGAUGAUCAAAAAUCAUUUGUUAGCAAGGGCCGGGCAAGACCGGUGCCAGCCGCCGCGGUAACACCGGCGGCCCGAGUGGUAGCCGUUUUUAUUGGGUCUAAAGGGUCCGUAGCCGGCCUGAUAAGUCCUUUGGGAAAUCUGGCAGCUUAACUGUCAGGCUUCUAAGGGAUACUGUCAGGCUUGGGACCGGAAGAGGUAAGGGGUACUCCAGGGGUAGGAGUGAAAUCUUGUAAUCCCUGGGGGACCAUCUGUGGCGAAGGCGCCUUACCAGAACGGGUCCGACGGUGAGGGACGAAAGCUAGGGGAGCAAACCGGAUUAGAUACCCGGGUAGUCCUAGCUGUAAACGAUGCUCGCUAGGUGUCAGACACGGUGCGACCGUGUUUGGUGCCGCAGGGAAGCCGUUAAGCGAGCCACCUGGGAAGUACGGUCGCAAGGCUGAAACUAAAG